rnacentral:lncRNA from 1 species
GGUCGUGACCCCCUUUGGCAAAUCUCUUCUCUCCAAAAAAUAUAUGUUUAGAGUACAAUUCAUAAAUUAGCAAAAUUACAGUUGUAAUUUUUAUGGUUGAGGAGCUCAUCAUAGUGUGAGGAACUAUAGGGUCACAGCAUUAGGAAGGUUGAGAACCACUGCAAACUAACCUGAGGUUGAAGACCUACAGAAAACCGAAUCCAGCACGAGGAGGAUGCAAGGCUCCCCGCAGACAGCUUUCUGGGCCCCUUCAGACACGGACUGAUACCAAGCUUAUCGUUGGUUUCUCAGCAAAGGCAGAUAAGAUGGCAGCUAAUGAGAUUUGCUCCUGGAAAACUCACCAGAGCCGUAAUUCAUCGGCUGCUUUUGAGUCACUACAGCUGAAGCAGGGAGGAGCUAUAAGAAAUCAUUUUGUCACCUGCUUUAGACAGCUGAAAACCCAC